rnacentral:rRNA from 1 species
UACGUAGGGGGCGAGCGUUGUCCGGAAUGACUGGGCGUAAAGGGCGCGUAGACGGUUGUCUAAGUCUGGAGUGAAAGUCCUGCUUUCAAGGUGGGAAUUGCUUUGGAGACUGAAUGACUUGAGUGCGGAAGAGGUAAGUGGAAUUCCCAGUGUAGCGGUGAAAUGCGUAGAGAUUGGGAAGAACACCAGUGGCGAAGGCGACUUACUGGGCCGUAACUGACGUUGAUGCGCGAAAGCGUGGGGAGCGAACAGGAUUAGAUACCCUGGUAGUCCACGCGGUAAACGAUGAGUGCUAGGUGUAGCGGGUAUCGACCCCUGCUGUGCCGGAGUUAACACAAUAAGCACUCCGCCUGGGGAGUACGGCCGCAAGGUUGAA